AAAAGUUCUAGGAGUCCCCACCCGACCCAGAAGGCCAGCUGCCUUCACCUCUCACUACCACGAAAGUAGUAGAGCUUGGGUUUGGCUGCCAUGACUCCUGGCUCAGGGUUUUCAAGGACACAGAUGAAGAGAUGCAGAGGGUGACAUACGGGGCAAGAUGCCUGGAUUUCCUGUGCCCUCCCCAGGUAUAAAAAGACAAUCUACUGUGAAGACCUUAGAUGUCUCCAUCCUCCUGCUCCAGAAGUUCCAUCAGAUUCUUUCAGGCUCUAGAAUGGGAAUGUCUCUCUGUGGUAUGCAAGCAAUGCCUCCACUAACUGACUGCCCAGGCUAUGAAGUCGAGACCAUGAAGAUCACCAUUCUACACUCCGUGUCCCCUGCUUUCUCUGUGAAAAUGUUUCAGCAGAGACAUGUAGUAAAAUUAAACCUGUGAACUGUUUUAUCACAACCCUUCAGCUAUGAAAGCCCUGAGCCACUGAGUCUGAAUAAGAGUACAACCAACUCUUGCAGAAAACACAGUUUUUUCAUGUGUACGUGGAGCAUUAACCAAAACCAACCUUUGUCAAGGCAUAAAAUAUAUCACAAUAAACACCAAAUAAAUGAAA
rnacentral:lncRNA from 1 species